UGGGCGAAAGCCUGAUGCAGCAACGCCGCGUGAGUGAUGAAGGCCUUCGGGUUGUAAAGCUCUGUCUUUUGGGACGAUAAUGACGGUACCAAAGGAGGAAGCCACGGCUAACUACGUGCCAGCAGCCGCGGUAAUACGUAGGUGGCGAGCGUUGUCCGGAUUUACUGGGCGUAAAGGAUGCGUAGGCGGAUUUUUAAGUGAGAUGUGAAAUACCCGAGCUUAACUUGGGUGCUGCAUUUCAAACUGGAAGUCUAGAGUGCGGGAGAGGAGAGUGGAAUUCCUAGUGUAGCGGUGAAAUGCGUAGAGAUUAGGAAGAACACCAGUGGCGAAGGCGACUCUCUGGACCGUAACUGACGCUGAGGCAUGAAAGCGUGGGUAGCAAACAGGAUUAGAUACCCUGGUAGUCCACGCCGUAAACGAUGAGUACUAGGUGUAGGAGGUAUCGACCCCUUCUGUGCCGCAGUUAACACAAUAAGUACUCCGCCUGGGAAGUA
rnacentral:rRNA from 1 species